AGCAGCAAUCGUGGAGUGUUUUACUUGAUCAUCGUUGGCGUGAUUUUGGGUGUUAAUGGUAUCUACGGUGGCGGUUCGCUGGUGUAGUCAUGGACCUUGCAUUUUUCCAGAAUUUCUUGCAAAUGGGUCCUUGGACGAUAUGACUAAGAAUCUGAGUGCAGGUACAGUUUUUGCGUGAUCGAUUUCAAAACAACAAUGGGAAAUUGCCUUUUCAUCAUCCAGGAUUUUUUCGGAUAAAGUAAAACAAGAAAUCGAAGAUUGUGCAGCUGAUUUUGUAGACGAUCACGAAUGGACUCAGUAGUGUUAGAAAUGUCCACACCGGAAGUCCAGAGCGGACGUGACAAGCUGCAGAGCGCGCCGCGGGACGCCAAUGCUGCUGCCAAGGCUGGUUAUUGCAUCUUCCACACGUCUGAGUGGCAACAUUGGCCGGUGUGUUAGUGCAUUUAACCCAUAAAAAUCAACGCAGAACCGCCGUUUUUCGAUUUUGCCUUUUUUGGCGACCAAAACCACUGGAAAAGACCGGGGAGAAGUUGAUUACCUGACAUUUUGAUCAAAAGCAAUGUCAAGUAACCUGAUGUUGUAAAAAUGCCUGCCUAGUGGCGCAGGACGUAGUGCAAAUGCCGGACGAAGGGUCAUAGAGAAGUGUGAAGUAUGUGUGAAGUAGUACGUGUGAAAAUUUGAAUUCAUUUUUAGCUUGAGUAAUUAAUCGUCGAUAUUUUCGCUGAUUUGCUAUAUGUUCCCAGUGGGUGAAAAUCGGUUUAUGUUGCCCUAUGCUGGAAUAUUCAUAUCUUCAAAUGGAUGUUCUUCCCGCUUGCUGUAGGCUA